ensembl:snRNA U6 U6 spliceosomal RNA
UCUUUAAAAAAAAAAAAAAACGAUACAGAGCAGAUUAGCCUGGUCCCUGUGCAGAGAUGACACGCAAACUCAUAAAGCGUUCCCUUUUUUA